GACGAACGCUGGCGGCGUGCUUAACACAUGCAAGUCGAGCGGUAAGGCCCUUUCGGGGGUACACGAGCGGCGAACGGGUGAGUAACACGUGGGUGACCUGCCCUCAGCUCUGGGAUAAGCCUGGGAAACCGGGUCUAAUACUGGAUAUGACUCCAUGACGCAUGUUGUGGGGUGGAAAGCCUUGUGCGGCUGAGGAUGGGCCCGCGGCCUAUCAGCUUGUUGGUGGGGUGANGGCCUACCAAGGCGACGACGGGUAGCCGGCCUGAGAGGGCGACCGGCCACACUGGGACUGAGACACGGCCCAGACUCCUACGGGAGGCAGCAGGUGGGGAAUCUUGCGCAAGUGGGACGAAAGCCUGACGCAGCGACGCCGCGUGAGGGAUGACGGCCUGG
rnacentral:rRNA from 1 species